AUGGGCAAGCACUGUAAGCUGUCACCUGCCCACAGCAUGCUAAGAAUGGACCUUUCAGAUUGUGCUGAUAUUUCCUUAUUUUCUGCCUUGACUGUUUGCUGCUGCUGCGUCGCUUCAGUCGUGUCCGACUCUGUGCAACCCCAUAGAUGGCAAAUUGUAGCAUUAGACAUAAAUUCAGAAUCCUGCACCAGGGUUGGGAUUGAGUUGAGCAGUAAUUGAGUCCUGAAAUCACAGAGACCUCAUGGUAAAGAAUGCAGGCUUAGCACCCAUGACACUUGGAGCCAGAUCCUGGUAUGACCUUGACAGGGGACCUCCUCUGUCUGAGUCUCUAUUUCUUUACCUGNNNNNNNNNNNNNNNNNNNNNNNNNAUUUUGAUGACAUAAUUUGUAUCUGCCUGUUACCGUUUUAAGGACAACAUUUAUAGUCCUUGUUAAGGUCUGCAUUGUUACCAUAUAAUAAAGCAAUUGACCCAGAACAGAGCUCUCUUUCCCUAUAUUUAAAAAUAUAACCUUGAAUUGUUCAUGGGUCACACCUCUUUACCUGUACCUUCCCACCCACAGGCAGGAAGAAAAGUGAUAUGGCAGCUGAUACUAACAUAAAUCUAAAAGAAAGGUACAUUUUUAAUUACAGCUGUAGCUAUAAAGAUAUGCAUAUAAAUAUAUAUGCAUACAUAUAAAGAUAUAUGUGUGUAUGUGUGUGUAUACUUAUGUGCAAACAAUCAAAUCCUAAAGCUAUAUUUUAAUGAACUUCUAAAAUUGAAGUAUUUUUGCCUUGGAAAUUCUAUGGGGUCACAAGGAGUUGGGCAUGACUUAGCAAUUAAACCACCACCAAACUUGAAGUAGAACAAAUAGAGAAGUCCCUGUAUCAUAACAAUGCAGCUGAAUGAAUUAUUACAAAAUCUAUAUAACCCUAGAUCAGGAAAUAGAAUGGAUUAUUAGAAGAAUCUCCAAAGCCCCUCCCAUGCCCUGCCCCUCUCCUUCCCCCUUCCCCCAAGGAGCACUCUGACUGGCUUUGUAACCCUGUGGCUACCUUUCGCUUGUUUUUGAACUAGAUGGAA
rnacentral:lncRNA from 1 species